rnacentral:rRNA from 1 species
AGACCGAUAGCGAACAAGUAGAGUGAUCGAAAGAUGAAAAGCACUUUGAAAAGAGAGUUAAAAAGUACGUGAAAUUGUUGAAAGGGAAGCGUUUAUGACCAGACUUGGGCUUGGUUAAUCAUCUGGGGUUCUCCCCAGUGCACUUUUCCAGUCCAGGCCAGCAUCAGUUUUCGCCGGGGGAUAAAGGCUUCGGGAAUGUGGCUCUCUCCGGGGAGUGUUAUAGCCCGUUGCGUAAUACCCUGGCGGGGAGUGAGGUUCGCGCAUCUGCAAGGAUGCUGGCGUAAUGGUCAUCAACGACCCGUCUUGAAACACGGACCAAGGAGUC